rnacentral:rRNA from 1 species
UCCUACGGGGGGCAGCAGUAGGGAAUUUUCGUCAAUGGGCGCAAGCCUGAACGAGCAAUGCCGCGUGAACGAGGAAGGUCUUCGGAUCGUAAAGUUCUGUUGAAGGGGAAAAAGAGCGGAGAGAGGAAAUGGUCUCCGAUUGAUAUUACCCUUCGAGGAAGUCACGGCUAACUACGUGCCAGCAGCCGCGGUAAUACGUAGGUGGCGAGCGUUAUCCGGAAUGAUUGGGCGUAAAGGGUGCGUAGGCGGCCUGCUAAGUCUGGAGUGAAAGGUACCGGCUCAACCGGUGCAGGCGCUGGAAACUG